rnacentral:rRNA from 1 species
AAGAAAUGCAAGUCGAGCGUCCCGAUGGGGCUUGCCCUGUCGGGAUAGCGGCGAACGGUCGCGUAACACGUAAGCAACUGCCCCAGAGUGGGGGAUAGCCCGCCGAAAGGCGGAUUAAUACCGCAUGUGGACAGCUGACGCAUGUCUGGUUGUCUAAAGCAGCAAUGCGCUCUGGGAUGGGCUUGCGGCCUAUCACUAGUUGGUGCGGGUAACGGCCCACCAAGGCGACGACGGGUAGCUGGUCUGAGAGGAUGUCAGCCGGACUGGGACUGAGACACGGCCCAGACUCCUACGGGAGGCAGCAAUUAGGAAUUUGCGCAAUGGGCGAAAGCCUGACGCAGCGACGCCGCGUGACCGAUGAAGUCCUUCGGGUGUAAAGGUCUUUUGUGGGGGAAGAAGGAUGUGACGGUACCCCACGAAUAAGCCCCGGCAACUACGUGCCAGCAGCCGCUGUAAUACGUAGGGGGCGAGCGUUGUCCGAAUUCACUGGCGUAAAGCGCGCGUAGGCGGGUUCUUAAGUUGGGGGUGAAAUCCCGGAGCUCAACUCCGAACUGCCUCCAAAACUGGGAGCCUAGAGGUAUGGAGAGGGAAGUGGAAUUCCUGGUGUACGGUGAAAUGCGUAGAUAUCAGGAGGAACACCCGUGGCGAAGGCGGCUUCCUGGCCAUGCCUGACGCUGAGGCGCGAAAGCUAGGGGAGCGAACGGGAUUAGAUACCCCGGUAGUCCUGCCGUAAACGAUGGAUACUAGGUGUUAGUGGUAUCGACCCCACUAGUGCCGUAGCUAACCAUUAAGUAUCCCGCCUGGGGAGUACGGCCGCAAGGUUGAAACUCAAAUGAAUUGACGGG